CUACGGAGGGUGCAAGCGUUAUCCGGAAUCAUUGGGUUUAAAGGGUCCGUAGGCGGAUUGGUAAGUCAGUGGUGAAAGUCUGCAGCUUAACUGUAGAAUUGCCAUUGAUACUGCUAGUCUUGAAUUACUGUGAAGUGAUUAGAAUGUGUAGUGUAGCGGUGAAAUGCAUAGAUAUUACACAGAAUACCAAUUGCGAAGGCAGAUCACUAACAGUAUAUUGACGCUGAGGGACGAAAGCGUGGGGAGCGAACAGGAUUAGAAACCCUAGUAGUCC
rnacentral:rRNA from 1 species